rnacentral:lncRNA from 1 species
AGAGUACACGUUUCCUAAAGAGGAGCAACUAAGUAACCACAGACAGGGCAAAAUCAUUUCGUGAAGCCACCAGGGAAUACAGAAACAAACUGGGUCCAUUUUGUUUCACAUGGUUUUGCAUGGGACCUGAACCAAGGCCCAUGUCUUUGCAGAAUUGUUUUCCGGGAUGCAAAUGGAUUCAGAUAUCACUCCUUGAACUAGAAGCCGUUACUAUAAUAUUUUGAAAGCUGGCAAAUUUUUUUCAAAGCUAGAAGAGCAGUUUUGCAUGGGGGGUUGCUGAGGUAGGCACAAGAAGAAAUCGGACAUAAAGCACAAGGAAAACUGUUUGAGUGGAUUGGUUGCUGCUCACUAAAGUUCUUCCCCGAUCUCCAAAUAUGGAGGUCAUUACCGAGAAAUGGCUUAGAUGUGAAUGAGAGCCAGAUCCCUGUGGCUCCACCGCGUGAGCCAGUGAAUUGUGGCUAAUUCGGCUGUUUCGGCCACUGGUUGGCUGGAUUUUAAACCAUAAAACUUGAAGAUAGCUACAAAAGGAACAGUUUGGCUACAAGCCUGAGCUUUAAUGGAACAUACGUCCUCACAGAAAAGUUGGAAGUAACCAAAACUGAAGUUUUCAUCUACCUUCAGUUUAGUCUGUGGAUUUGUUCAAAUACUAAAGAUCCUCAGGUCCAGAAUUCCAGCAUCAUUUAUUCUUUUAAAAUAAAUUUUUAAGAACUUGAUCCGUUGUAUCAGUACCUCACAAUCAAAGUUGGCAAAUGAUGGAUGAGUGAUUCAAGCAGCGUGCCCUUUGGAAGCUGAAAUCCAUCUGGAUGGAGCCGAAGUGAACGUGAAUAUGCUGACUAUAUCCUGGAAGCAUUUUUAUACCAUCUUGCGAUUUCAACAAACUGGCUUUUGCCAGUUUAUCCAGCUGUCUUUCAAGAAUAAAAGUUGGGGUUUUCAAGGAUCGCCUCUUCUAUAUUUUAAAUGGAUUUUCAGUAUGAUUUUUACUAAUCAAGUUAAUCCCACCCCAUCCAAAGGAGGCGGGUCCUGGCCUCUUCUCCCUGCAGGAAGAUGACUGGAGGAGGUGGAUUAAUUGUAGCAUUCACUGAUCCUCAUGCCAGUCACUGGGGACGAUAGAACGCUGCCAAGCACAGACACUACACUUGUGGCUUGUGGUUGGUUCGUUGAGCAAGGUGAUGUGGACAGGCUGUCUCUCAGAACGCAUUCCUGACUAUUGCUACUAAAGGAAGGGAUUCCCCUCCGCAAACGGCAUGGUACAGACUAUGGGAAACCAAUUUUUUUGGUUUUGUCUUUCCCCCUCUACUGUGAACAGUGAUUUAGGGCUGUUUUUCAACCUUGGCAAACAUCCCAGCUAAUCACGUGUUCAAAACAGUCAUGUUCCUAAGAAGGAGGGAACUAAAAUUCCCUCUUCGGGUCGUUGGUGGAAUGUUUGUUUCUCAAACUACUGCAGUCACAGGAGAAAACAAAUUUUAGGAACGGAAUCAAAAGAGCGAAACCUGGAGUUCCCUUGUGGCUCAGCAGGUUGAGGAUCUGGCGUUGCCGCUGCUGAGACUCAGGUCCAAUCCCUGGCCCAGGAACUUCCCCAUGCCACAGGCACAGCUUAAAAAAAAAAAAAAAAAAGGCAAAAAUCUGUGACAAGAUCUUCCUUUCUGGUUUCUAUUGUCCCUACCUAUCAUUCAAGUCGAAUGGCAGUUCUAGUCAGCAGAGAAAGUUUUCUGUGCGAAUGCUGCGCAAUACAAGAUGCAAAUCUGUAUGGCACCAAAAAUCAAAGUGAAAACCAAACCAAAAACCCAGACACCCUAUGUUACUGUGGGAGGCAUGUAGGUGGUUUAAAUGACUGUAGUUGUGAUACACACAUGGCUACACGUCGCUUCACUUUCCAUAAUUAUUUACUGCAAAGUGAUUGAGGAGCUUUGGUGCAGAGGCGGCCGAGACCUGCUGCUGCUUCCUUUGUUGCCUCUCAGUCACUUUGCAAUAAAUUGCAGGUCUUUUAAGAGAUUCAAGCUUCAGUUUUCUCAAAACAAAACAAUUAUCCUGGCUUAUCUGACAAUGCAGGGUUGUGGGCAGAAGAGGCUGGUUAUACUAAUGCCCUCAUAUUGAGUGGUCUGUAAAUGGCUGCACACUUCAGGCGCUACAUAGUGGCUGAGAAUGCUUUGUUAAAUGUAACCUUGACUGGCUGUACAGGGGGUAGAGUGUGCUCUACACAAGGUGUUAAAAGCUAACUAUUGGUCUGUGUCUACCUUGCUCUUGAGGUAGAUGAAAUUGAGAAGC